AUGACUACCUGCUUCUCUGAUAUUAUUAAAGACCAUUCCCUGGAUUUUGUGGGCAUUCAAGAGACCAAGAAAAAGAAUUUUGACCCCAAAUAUUUGAGAAGAGUUGACCCCUUUGAUAGAUUCAGUUGGAACUGGAUUCCUUCUGUUGGUAAAUCUGGUUGGAUUCUGUGUGGAGUUAAGAAGGAAACAUUGGAAGUGGUCGCCUGGGUUGCAGGUAUCUACCUACUGCAGGUUACUGUGUUUUAUAUGACAAUUAAGAGUGUUUGGACACUGGUGGUGGUAUAUGGGGCGGCCCACGAUGACAAAAAAGAUGAAUUCCUUGCAGAAUUGGCCUCAAUGUGUAGUAGUAUUAGUACUCCUUAUGUGAUUGGUGGUGACUUUAAUAUCCUCCGUGAGAGCUGCAAUAAAAAUAAGGAUCUUCAUCGCUCCAUUUACAUGGAUAGGUUUAAUUGUAUCAUCCAGAACCUGAAUCUUAGGGAGAUCCAUAUGGGGGGAGGCAGAUAUACAUGGACUAGUAAGCAAAGGCACCCUACUUUGAUUGCCACUAGGGCAUAUUUCCUUCACCCUGAGUGGGAAGACAUGUUUCCUUUAGUUGCUAUUCGUAAGCUGGUGUGAGAUGUUUUGGACCACAAUCCCCGGUUGCUCUCCUCUGAACCUUUAAAGAACAAACCCCCUCACCAACGUGAAUUCAGGUUUGAAUUGAGCUGGUUGAAGAAUGAAGAAUUUUAUGUUAACGCCAAGAUGAUUUGGGAACAACCUGUAAACUCUGAGGAUCCAAUUGAUAUUCUGAAUAUCAAACUGAAGCGCAUCAAAAAAUAUUUUAAAGGCUGGGGGUCGCAUGCAUUUGGGCAUGCGAGGAAAGGGAAAAAAUGGAUCAAGCAGGAGUUGGAAGAGAUUGAAAAAGAAGAGGAAAAUGGCCCCCUUGAUCCGGAUACGUAUGAGAAAAGGACUUUUUAUGUGCGGAACUGA
rnacentral:rRNA from 1 species